GACGAACGCUGGCGGCGUGCUUAACACAUGCAAGUCGAACGGAAAGGCCCUGCUUUUGUGGGGUGCUCGAGUGGCGAACGGGUGAGUAACACGCGAGUAACCUGCCCUUGACUUUGGGAUAACUUCAGGAAACUGGGGCUAAUAUCGGAUAGGAGCUCCUGCUGCAUGGUGGGGGUUGGAAAGAUUCGGCGGUUGUGGAUGGACUCGCGGGUUAGCAGCUUGUUGGUGGGGUAGUGGCUUACCAAGGCUUUGACGGGUAGCCGGCCUGAGCGGGUGACCGGCCACAAUGGGACUGAGGUACGGCCCAGACGCCAACGGGAGGCAGCAGUGGGGAGUAUUGCACAGUGGGCGGAAGCCUGAUGCAGCAACGCCGCGUGCGGGAUGACGUCCUUCGGGUUGUAAACCGCUUUCGACUGUGACGAAGCGUGAGUGACGGUAAUGGGUAAAGAAGCACCGGCUAACUACGUG
rnacentral:rRNA from 1 species